rnacentral:SRP_RNA from 1 species
GGACAAGUCCCAUACAACCAGCUCCUGGUGAACCCCCCCAGAUCCGGAAGGAAGCAAGGGUAUCCGGUCGUAGCGGUGUGAUAUGGUAAGCUUGUCCCUU